GAGGGAGGCCCCAUCAUUGCAGUUCAAGUGGAGAAUGAGUACGGCUCAUAUGCAAAGGAUGAACGAUACAUGCCUUUUAUGAAGGAGGUAAUGUGAUACUGUACUGUUUCUCACUAUCUGCAUAAUAUUAUAUGCCCAGUAUAGACUUUUGCAGUGACCUCUAAAUGUAUAGUGAAACUUUAUCUCCUUUGGCCAGCUCUAUUCCUCUAUCCAGAGGGAUCAAUGAACUCCUGCUGACAUUAGACAACCGGGAGGGGCUACGUUUUUUUUCUUAGCCCCUCCUCUCUUAAGUUCCCAAGACGGUAAACCUUCAAAGACUGGCAAACGGAACCAUACAAUAUUUAGCGUACAUGCAGGUAUAGUGCCAAUGAGUCUGUAUUUUCUUCUAUUUUGUCUUGCAUCUGUGAAAACAUAGUGGUCCAAAGACUAAGUGUGACUUUGCCCUUACUGUAGCCCCAGAAACCUCUGCUUCUAAUGGAGUACUGGUUUGGGUGGUUCGAUGUCUGGAGUGAAUCUCACCAUGUGUUUCCAGCAGAGGGUAUGUUUCCCUCCAAAUCAAUACAUUACAAACGAGAUGAAAAUCAUGUCAUAUAACCCCUAGUUAUAUCAACGCUUAAAGUUAAUCUAUUAUUUACAUUUUAGUCAUUUAGCAGACACUCUCGUCCAGAGUGACUGGGGUGGCAGGUAGCCUAGUGGUUAGAGCAUUGGGCCAGUAACUGAAAGGUUGCUAGAUCAAAUCCCUGAGCUGACAAGGUAAAAAUCUGUUGUUCUGCCCCUGAACAAGGCAGUUAACUCACUGUUCCUGGGCUGUUGUUGUAAAUAAGAAUUUGUUAUAAACUUACUUGCCUAGUUAAAUAAAAUAGUAGUGAGUUUUCAUUUGUACUGUUGCCCCGUGGGAAUUGAACCCACAAUCCUGGCAUUGCAAGUGCCAUGCUCCACCAACUGAGCCCACAGUGGACCAUCCAUCCAUCACGCAAAGGACUGUAUGUGGCGACCGUCUAGUAUUGAUUUAGUCUGUCUCCUCUGGUAGACAUGUUGGCUGUGGUGUCAAAGAUACUGGAGCCAGGUGUAUCCAUCAACCUCUAUAUGUUCCAUGAUGGAACCAGCUUUGGCUUCAUGAAUGGAGCUGUGGUGAACCUUGGCACCUACAAACCUCAAGUCGGAAGCUAUUCAGCCAGUUUUAUGUAUCCCUUGAACUGACAUUUUCCAAAUGUACAUUUCCUUGACCAGAAAAAUGUUGUCAUCUGAAUCUGAAUCUUUUUUUUUUUUGUUGAUUAUGAUGCUUUGUUAUCCGAGGCUGGAGAUUACACCACCAAGUAUCAGCUCCUGAGGAAUUUAUUCAGCCAGUUUCACAAUGAGAAGCUUCCUGAGGCUCCCUCUCUCCAGGCCGGGAGAGUAUGAGCCUGUCAUCAUUCAGAAGCAUCUGUCACUGUGGGAGAGCCUGCAGUUUACUGACAAGCCCUUGAAGUCAGAGGGGCCUGUCAACAUUGAGAACAAUAACAAUGGUCAGUUCUAUGGCUACACUCAAUAUGAGACCACCAUC